GACGAACGCUGGCGGCGCGCUUAACACAUGCAAGUCGAGCGAAGCGGCUGACUGGUGAGUAACACGUGAGUAACCUGCCUUAGCCAUUGGGAUAGCCUCGGGAAACCGGGAUUAAUACCAACUGGUCUAAGAUGGACUGGCGUCCCAUUAGCUCGUUGGUGAGGUAACGGCCCACCAAGGCGACGGUGGGUACCCGGCCUUAGAGGGUGAACGGCAACAUUGGAACUGAGAAACGGUCCAAACUCUACGGGAGGCAGCAGUGUGUAAUAUUGCACAAUGGAGGGAACUCUGAUGCAGCGAGGCCGCGUGAACGAAGAAGGCUUUCGAGUCGUAAAGUUCUUUUAUAUGGGAAGCGGUACCAUAAGAAAAAGCCCCGGCUAACUACGUGCCAGCAGCCGCGGUAAUUC
rnacentral:rRNA from 1 species